rnacentral:rRNA from 1 species
UACGUAGGUGGCAAGCGUUGUCCGGAUUUACUGGGCGUAAAGAGCGCGCAGGCGGUCGUUCAAGUCGCGUGUGAAAGCCCCCGGCUCAACUGGGGAGGGUCACGCGAUACUGAUCGACUCGAAGGCAGGAGAGGGUAGUGGAAUUCCCGGUGUAGUGGUGAAAUGCGUGGAUAUCGGGAGGAACACCAGUGGCGAAGGCGACUACCUGGCCUGUUCUUGACGCUGAGGCACGAAAGCGUGGGUAGCAUACAGG